rnacentral:rRNA from 1 species
CCUACGGGUGGCAGCAGUGAGGAAUAUUGGUCAAUGGGCGGAAGCCUGAACCAGCCAAGUAGCGUGCAGGAUGACGGCCCUACGGGUUGUAAACUGCUUUUAUACGGGAAUAACGCGCCUUACGUGUAGGGCUUUGCAUGUACCGUAUGAAUAAGGACCGGCUAAUUCCGUGCCAGCAGCCGCGGUAAUACGGAAGGUCCGGGCGUUAUCCGGAUUUAUUGGGUUUAAAGGCAGCGUAGGCCGCAUGUCAAGCGUGCUGUGAAAUGUCCGGGCUCAACCCGGGCCUUGCAGCGCGAACUGGCGUGCUUGAGUCCGCGGAAAGCAGGCGGAAUUCGUCGUGUAGCGGUGAAAUGCUUAGAUAUGACGAAGAACCCCGAUUGCGAAGGCAGCCUGCUGCAGCGGAACUGACGCUGAUGCUCGAAAGCGCGGGUAUCGAACAGGAUUAGAUACCCGAGUAGUC